GAUGAACGCUGGCGGCGUGCCUAAUACAUGCAAGUCGAGCGAACAGACGAGGAGCUUGCUCCUCUGACGUUAGCGGCGGACGGGUGAGUAACACGUGGAUAACCUACCUAUAAGACUGGGAUAACUUCGGGAAACCGGAGCUAAUACCGGAUAACAUGUUGAACCGCAUGGUUCAACAGUGAAAGACGGUCUUGCUGUCACUUAUAGAUGGAUCCGCGCCGCAUUAGCUAGUUGGUAAGGUAACGGCUUACCAAGGCAACGAUGCGUAGCCGACCUGAGAGGGUGAUCGGCCACACUGGAACUGAGACACGGUCCAGACUCCUACGGGAGGCAGCAGUAGGGAAUCUUCCGCAAUGGGCGAAAGCCUAACGGAGCAACGCCGCGUGAGUGAAGAAGGUCCUCGGAUCGUAAAACUCUGUUAUUAGGGAAGAACAAAUGUGUAAGUAACUAUGCACGUCUUGACGGUACCUAAUCAGAAAGCCACGGCUAACUACGUG
rnacentral:rRNA from 1 species